rnacentral:rRNA from 1 species
CCUACGGGAGGCUGCAGUGGGGAAUAUUGCACAAUGGGCGAAAGCCUGAUGCAGCAACGCCGCGUGAAGGAAGAAGGGUUUCGGCUCGUAAACUUCUAUCAACAGGGACGAAAGAAAUGACGGGACCGGAAUAAGAAGCCACGGCUAACUACGUGCCAGCAGCCGCGGGAAUACGUAGGGGGCAAGCGUUAUCCGGAAUUACGGGGUGUAAAGGGUGAGGAGGCGGCAUGGUAAGCCAGAUGUGAAAGCCUUGGGCUUAACCCGAGGAUGGCAUUUGGAACUAUCAAGCUAGAGUACAGGAGAGGCAAGCGGACUUCCUAGUGUAGCGGUGACAUGCGUAGAUAUUAG